AUGACCAAGCAGAAGCCACCACCACACCACUGGUCUCACCGACCGAAGACACGAGCAGGGCAGACAGCACACCUCGACGACGUCUUUAAGAAGAGCGCGGCACCCGAGUGCGUCGCCGUCGCCGGCCCCGGCCAGAAGCCCGAGGCAGAGCUUUCACCCGGCGCUGCCACACCGCGUGCCGAGCCCAAGCCCGACCGGACCACCAAACAGCAUCUCGCCGCAACGAAGCAGCCAGAUCCGGAGAACCCAGGGCCGGCCAGAGCCAGCCACGCACGCCCGGAGCUGCCGCCCCCCGCCAUCCGCCGGAUCCACAGCACCAGGAGCUGCCGGAGCACCACCAAGACGCUGCCGGGCCGAGCACCACCAUCACGCGGGGACCGUGGCACCGCACAUCGCCACACCAGGUCCGCGCUUGGCCGCGCCCACCCACCGCCGGAGCCGCGCCAGCCCACGCCGAAGCGAGCCCGUCGAGUAGCACCCGACUGA
rnacentral:rRNA from 1 species